rnacentral:rRNA from 1 species
UACGUAGGGUGCAAGCGUUGUCCGGAUUUAUUGGGCGUAAAGGGCUCGUAGGCGGUCUGUCGCGUCGGGCUGUGAAAUCCCGAGGCUCAACCUCGGGGUCUGUAGUCGAUACGGGGCAAACUGGAGUGUUGCAGGGGGAGACUGGAAUUCCUGGUGUAGCGGUGAAAUGCGCAGAUAUCAGGAGGAACACCGGUGGCGAAGGCGGGUCUCUGGGCAACAACUGACGCUGAGGAGCGAAAAGCGUGGGGGGAGCGAAACAGGG